GUAGGGGGCAAGCGUUGUCCGGAUUUAUUGGGCGUAAAGAGCUCGUAGGCGGUUUCGUUAGUCGGGUGUGAAAACCCCAGGCUCAACCUGGGGACGCCACCCGAUACUGCGAUGACUAGAGUCCGGUAGGGGAGUGUGGAAUUCCUGGUGUAGCGGUGAAAUGCGCAGAUAUCAGGAGGAACACCAACGGCGAAGGCAGCACUCUGGGCCGGAACUGACGCUGAGGAGCGAAAGCGUGGGUAGCGAACAGGAUUAGAUACCCUGGUAGUCCACGCCGUAAACGUUGGGCACUAGGUGUGGGAUCUUUCCAACGGAUUCCGUGCCGUAGCUAACGCAUUAAGUGCCCCGCCUGGGGAGUACGGCCGCAAGGCUA
rnacentral:rRNA from 1 species